UACGGGGGGGGCAAGCGUUGUUCGGAAUUACUGGGCGUAAAGCGUGCGCAGGCGGUUGUGCAAGACCGAUGUGAAAUCCCCGGGCUUAACCUGGGAAUGGCAUUGGUGACUGCACGGCUAGAGUGUGUCAGAGGGGGGUAGAAUUCCACGUGUAGCAGUGAAAUGCGUAGAGAUGUGGAGGGAUACCGAUGGCGAAGGCAGCCCCCUGGGAUAACACUGACGCUCAUGCACGAAAGCGUGGGGAGCAAACAGG
rnacentral:rRNA from 1 species